rnacentral:tRNA from 1 species
GCCUGGUUGGCUCAGUCAGUUGAGCGUCUGACUUCGGCUCAGGUCAUGAUGCUGCAGUCUGUGAGUUUGAGUCCCACUUCGGGCU